GGAGUUCCUCGACUUAAUUCUCUUAAUUUUGUCUUUUCCAGAGAGGAGGAAUCAUUCUGAUUAAGUUUGACACAUUUGCAUGUGUGACAUAUACAGUAGCAAUAUAGAUACAUUGGGUAGAGUCCAGGUAUGUCCCCAAUGCACACCUCCUUGCUGCUUUUGCUGGUCUACUUCUGGGGAUCCACUUAAAUUCUUUGAGUGUGACUUCAUAAUGCAGAAAAACUAGAGAAAAACAGGAGAGGAUAAAGGAGAAAAGCGGGAGAUAGGGGAGAGAGUUAGCAACGGGAAAGAAGAAAAGAAGAGAGCCAAAGAUCUAUAAAACCAGAAGGCAAGAGAGAGGUAGGCAGAUGUGUAGAGGGGAGACAGAGACAGAGACAUGCAUACAGAGAGAAAAUAGUAUCUAUUUCUAUAACUAAAUACUAUUCAGGCG
rnacentral:lncRNA from 1 species